GGUAGCUAAAUGCGGAAGAGAUAAGUGCUGAAAGCAUCUAAGCACGAAACUUGCCCCGAGAUGAGUUCUCCCUGAGACUUUAAGUCUCCUGAAGGAACGUUGAAGACGACGACGUUGAUAGGCCGGGUGUGUAAGCGCAGCGAUGCGUUGAGCUAACCGGUACUAAUGAACCGUGAGGCUUAACCUU
rnacentral:rRNA from 1 species